AUUGAACGCUGGCGGCAGGCUUAACACAUGCAAGUCGAGCGGGGUGAUGGUGCUUGCACUAUCACUUAGCGGCGGACGGGUGAGGAAUGCUUAGGAAUCUGCCUAUUAGUGGGGGACAACAUCUCGAAAGGGAUGCUAAUACCGCAUACGUCCUACGGGAGAAAGCAGGGGAUCACUUGUGACCUUGCGCUAAUAGAUGAGCCUAAGUCGGAUUAGCUAGUUGGUGGGGUAAAGGCCUACCAAGGCGACGAUCUGUAGCGGGUCUGAGGGGAUGAUCCGCCACACUGGGACUGAGACACGGCCCAGACUCCUACGGGAGGCAGCAGUGGGGAAUAUUGGACAAUGGGGGGAACCCUGAUCCAGCCAUGCCGCGUGUGUGAAGAAGGCCUUAUGGUUGCAAAGCACUUUAAGCGAGGAGGAGGCUCUUUUGGUUAAUACCCAAGAUGAGUGGACGUUACUCGCAGAAUAAGCACCGGCUAACUCUGUGCCAGCAGCCGCCGUAA
rnacentral:rRNA from 1 species